GGGCCGCUAGCUCAGUUGGUAGAGCACCUGCCUUUUAAGCAGGUGGUCGAAGGUUCGAUCCCUUCGCGGCUCA
rfam:Nitrospina sp. SCGC_AAA799_A02 AAA799A02_1, whole genome shotgun sequence.